rnacentral:rRNA from 1 species
UACGGAGGGGGCUAGCGUUGUCCGAAGUUACUGGGCGUAAAGAGCUCGUAGGCGGUUUGUCGCGUCUGCUGUGAAAGACCGGGGCUCAACUCCGGUUCUGCAGUGGGUACGGGCAGACUAGAGUGAUGUAGGGGAGACUGGAAUUCCUGGUGUAGCGGUGAAAUGCGCAGAUAUCAGGAGGAACACCGAUGGCGAAGGCAGGUCUCUGGGCAUUAACUGACGCUGAGGAGCGAAAGCAUGGGGAGCGAACAGG